rnacentral:rRNA from 1 species
ACCGUUCAGAAGAAGAAAAACGGUUGGGCCCGCGAGGCGUGCCGCGGCGGGAUUCAGCCGUCGGCCUGUUGGGAGGCUCGGGUUGUCGGAGGAUGGUGGGGGAAACCCUGCCUAUGCCCCGGCGGCCUGGGUCGACCGGCGGGCUGGCGGUGCACUUCUCGUCGUGUGCGGGCCGCGUCCGGAUGCAUCGAUCGGCUGGAAAGCGUUGGCGGGAAGGUGACCGCGGUUGCUUCGGCGGCCACGGAGUUAUUAGCCCGUUGGUGCGACAUACGGCUAGAUUGGCGUCCGAGGCGACACCCGGUGGAGUUCGCGGCCUUUUGGCCCUUCGGUUCCGCUCGGAAGCGCGAUUCUUCGCGCCGCUGGGUCUGGUAGCCGUUGGUCCGGGGGUCGCUCCUCUGCCUGGGAGUUCCGCGGCUUAGCGAGGCGGUGGCCCAACCGACCCGUCUUGAAACACGGACCAAGGAGUCCGGCGGGCGUGCAAGUCGUAGGGUGUUCGAAACCCGAAGGCGAAGCGAAAGCGUAGGUCCGAUCCCGCUCCCUCGGGGGUGGGCGCAGGGCCGUCCUCGCUAAGAGGCUUGUGUCCUCUGGCGGGCGAUCUGAGCACGUCCGGCGGGACCCGAAAGAUGGUGAACUAUGCCUGAGCAGGCCGAAGCCAGGGGAAACUCUGGUGGAGGGCCGCAGCGGUUCUGACGUGCAAAUCGAUCGUCAGACUUGUGUAUAGGGGCGAAAGACUAAUCGAACCAUCUAGUAGCUGGUUCCCUCCGAAGUCUCCCCUCAGG